GUGAAUCAUCGAAUUUUUGAACGCAAAUUGCACUCUCUUCAGAGAGUAUGCCUGUUUGAGGGUCAGUAUUAAUAAAAAUCGGUGUGUUGCUUCUUUGUGACGCUCCGGAGUUUGGGUCAUCUUAAUAUCCUUUAGGUUUUAGGGGCCUAAAAUUUAAUUUUUUUGCCGCUUUUUGGUUGUCCUUAAUUUCUUUUUUUAUUUGUUUGUUUUUAUUCCUAAAAUUCCU
rnacentral:misc_RNA from 1 species